AGCUGGUGCUAAAAAAAUUAACUGCAUUUGUAAAUGCAAAGUAGUUCAACUUAUAUGGAUCAAGAAAAAAUUCAGCAAUUAAAAGAUUAACUGCUUGCUGAUGCAACACUGCAUUGAAUAACAACCGCUGCACUAACUUGUGCUUCUAUAUUAACAGCAUCCAAAGAGUCAAGCUAUAAUUCAGACUAUUUGUAAUCUCGCAGCCAGAAAUCGCACACUCCGCAACCGACUGUCUGCAUGGCUUCCCAAAGGUGGGCAACUGUCCCUUCUUAGACAGCACCACCGGUAUUCAUCACAACAAACACAGCUGAUGUGCUGUAGUGUUCGCAGAGCACAUUCAGAACUUUGUGAUCGCAUAAGACACCAUCCCAUGGAAGCAUUUAUAUCAAUGACUAAAAAGCAUUUUUACUGUCCUCUGUGUGCACAUUGGUUGAAGAGCACUCCCAUAAAAAUUUGGCUUCCAUAGUCUUUGCACCAAGU
rnacentral:lncRNA from 1 species